AUUACAAUAAAGUCUCACAUGUCUUAAGUACAUAGUUUUUACUUUUUAAAUAUUUGGACGAUGGCUGUCCUGAUUUAGUCACUAUAACAACUGCAUACAUAGUGAGUGAGUGAGU